UACGUAGGAGGCGAGCGUUGUCCGGAUUUACUGGGCGUAAAGGGCGUGUAGGCGGUGGCGUUAGUCGGGUGUGAAAGCCCCUGGCUUAACCAGGGAGGGUCAUCCGAUACUGCGCCGCUUGAGGGCAGCAGAGGAAAGUAGAAUUCCCGGUGUAGUGGUGAAAUGCGUAGAUAUCGGGAGGAAUACCGGUGGCGAAGGCGGCUUUCUGGGCUGCACCUGACGCUGAGGCGCGAAAGCGUGGGGAG
rnacentral:rRNA from 1 species